rnacentral:lncRNA from 1 species
AGCAGGUGCAGAGACAAUGUCGAUGUAGUCAGGAAGCCACCAAUGCCACCAAAAUCAUCCAUGACAACUAUGAUCAGGUAAGAUCUGGGAGGAUGGAGGGGAGGGCUAAUUGGCUAGUUCCCUUUUCCAGCAUCCCUCUACCAUUUUCUUAGAACCCUUUCAUAGCAGGACUGACCUGUGUCCUGAUUUGAAGAAAGCACACGCUGUGUAAGAUGGGGGUGAUGCAGAGGGAGCAAAGGUGGGCAGCGGGUCCUGCACUGCUAGGCAUGACAUGUGCUACCUGCAUGGUGACCUGGUGGUCACUCCUGCCAUGGUGUUCUGUGUGCAAGAAACACCCGGCACUUCUCAUGCAGGUGUCAAUGAAGAGACAGGGCUUCUUGAUGCAUCACUGGAUGAUCUUACUGAAGGGCAGAUUCUGGUUGUGUGGGUCUGCAGUGAGGCCUUGAUUUCUGCCUUCUAACCACACUCCCAAAUGAUGUUGAUGCUUUGGAGAGCAAGGAGGUUGGGGUCCAUUCAGAGCUCUGCUACUUUGGGGACAGGCACCACUGGAUAGACAGAUUUCUAGAAAAAGCUGAGUCAAGUGGCUGUUACCACAAGCCAGGUAUCGUCCUAAGCCCACUAUAAGUGUUGGCCUAUGGAUCCUCACAGAAAUGCUACGAGUAUUAUCUACCAUUGAUAAAUUAGAAAAUCAAGGCACAAACAGGUUAAGUUACUCAGUGAAGGUCGCCCUGCAGCAAAGUAGUGGUGGUGGGAUUUGGUCCCACCUUGGAUGACUCCAAUGGAUGUGCCAUUAGAUCUUGCCACCUCCUGGUCUGUGAGGAGGAGGAAUGGAAGCUGUAUUUUAGUUUGACUCUUGCUAACUGUCCAAAUGACGUGGGGCAAGGCACUCACCCAUAUGGGCUUCAGGGCUUUGCUGUAUCAAAUGGAGACAACAUGUUCUCCAUACCCACCAGCAAUCACAGAGGGGACCAAGGCUUCCUGGAAGAACAAAAAUACCAAAGCAAGCUGAUACGAAAAGAAAAUAAACAGAAGACCUAAACAGUAAAGGGAAUUUUUCCUAUGAGAAAUGUGGUAGGGGGACAAGGGGGAAAGAAUGGAGUACUUCUUACUUUGUGCGUAAGGAGUUGACAUGAAAUUAACCAAUAAAUGGUGGAAACAAAAUUUUGGUUGCCAUGCAAAUACAUUGGGCAAAUAAAAAGAAAACCCAUGAGGACCAGAAAGUGGGAAAAGUGAUUUGCACACUUUGGCACGUCUAUAAAUGUCACCUUCAUGAUGAUUUCAUUGUUUUCAGCUGGAGGUCCCGUCUGCCGCUGUUAAGUCCCUGGGAGAACUCAAUGUCUUUCUAGCCUGGAUUAGCAAGAAUCAUCAGGAAACUUCUGCUGCUUGACACGAGGGGCCCAUCUAAUUAUCCGGGGACAAAUACCCCUGCGAGGACUCUUAUGGGACACAGCUGACUUUGAAGGGGAGUGAGAUGGGGAAGACAUCCAUGUUUAUCCAAAUGAGGGUCCUUUCAAUGGACCUCCCUACUGAUGUGGAAUUCUGUCCCGGGGCUGGGGCCUUGCAGGGAAAACCUGGGUUCAAGCAGAUCUCACCCUACAGCUGGAAGUCCCACUGGCUGGUCUCAGGCUGUCUAAUCCCACUUGAAAGUAGCCAAAUAGCCUACCCUGGUAUUUAUAAUGAAAUAUGUCUGUUGAAAGGUCCCAACAGCCAUCCUGGAAGGAGAGGGUUGGCUCCCCACUAAUUUAUUGUGAAGUUGUGUAUCC